CCUACGGGGGGCAGCAGUGGGGAAUAUUGGACAAUGGGCGAAAGCCUGAUCCAGCCAUGCCGCGUGUGUGAAGAAGGCCUUCGGGUUGUAAAGCACUUUCAGUGGGGAAGAAAGCCUUGGGGCUAAUACCCUCGAGGAAGGACAUCACCCACAGAAGAAGCACCGGCUAACUCCGUGCCAGCAGCCGCGGUAAUACGGAGGGUGCGAGCGUUAAUCGGAAUUACUGGGCGUAAAGCGCGCGUAGGCGGUCUGAUAAGCCGGUUGUGAAAGCCCCGGGCUCAACCUGGGAACGGCAUCCGGAACUGUCAGGCUAGAGUGCAGGAGAGGAAGGGAGAAUUCCCGGUGUAGCGGUGAAAUGCGUAGAGAUCGGGAGGAAUACCAGUGGCGAAGGCGGCCUUCUGGACUGACACUGACGCUGAGGUGCGAAAGCGUGGGUAGCAAACAGGAUUAGAUACCCGAGUAGUC
rnacentral:rRNA from 1 species